rnacentral:rRNA from 1 species
GUACGGGAGGCAGCAGUGAGGAAUCUUGCGCAAUGGGGGAAACCCUGACGCAGCAACGCCGCGUGAGUGAGGAAGGUCUUCGGAUCGUAAAGCUCUGUCAGAUGGAAAGAAUCGCAUAGGGAUAAACAGUCCCUAUGUCUGACGGUACCAUCAGAGGAAGCACCGGCUAACUCCGUGCCAGCAGCCGCGGUAAUACGGGGGGUGCAAGCGUUGUUCGGAAUUAUUGGGCGUAAAGAGCGUGUAGGCGGCCGGAUGUGUCAGAUGUGAAAGCCCUGGGCUUAACCCAGGAAGUGCAUUUGAAACUAUCCGGCUUGAGUAGGGGAGAGGGAAGUGGAAUUCCUGGUGUAGAGGUGAAAUUCGUAGAUAUCAGGAGGAACACCGGUGGCGAAGGCGACUUCCUGGCCCUAUACUGACGCUGAGACGCGAGAGCGUGGGUAGCAAACAGGAUUAGAUACCCCUGUAU